rnacentral:rRNA from 1 species
GACGAACGCUGGCGGCGUGCCUAAUACAUGCAAGUAGAACGCUGAAGAGAGGAGCUUGCUCUUCUUGGAUGAGUUGCGAACGGGUGAGUAACGCGUAGGUAACCUGCCUUGUAGCGGGGGAUAACUAUUGGAAACGAUAGCUAAUACCGCAUAACAAUGGAUGACCCAUGUCAUUUAUUUGAAAGGGGCAAAUGCUCCACUACAAGAUGGGCCUGCGUUGUAUUAGCUAGUAGGUGAGGUAACGGCUCACCUAGGCGACGAUACAUAGCCGACCUGAGAGGGUGAUCGGCCACACUGGGACUGAGACACGGCCCAGACUCCUACGGGAGGCAGCAGUAGGGAAUCUUCGGCAAUGGGGGCAACCCUGACCGAGCAACGCCGCGUGAGUGAAGAAGGUUUUCGGAUCGUAAAGCUCUGUUGUAAGUCAAGAACGAGUGUGAGAGUGGAAAGUUCACACUGUGACGGUAGCUUACCAGAAAGGGACGGCUAACUACGUGCCAGCAGCCGCGGUAAUACGUAGGUCCCGAGCGUUGUCCGGAUUUAUUGGGCGUAAAGCGAGCGCAGGCGGUUUGAUAAGUCUGAAGUUAAAGGCUGUGGCUCAACCAUAGUUCGCUUUGGAAACUGUCAAACUUGAGUGCAGAAGGGGAGAGUGGAAUUCCAUGUGUAGCGGUGAAAUGCGUAGAUAUAUGGAGGAACACCGGUGGCGAAAGCGGCUCUCUGGUCUGUAACUGACGCUGAGGCUCGAAAGCGUGGGGAGCGAACAGG